UAGGGAAUCUUCCACAAUGGGCGCAAGCCUGAUGGAGCAACACCGCGUGAGUGAAGAAGGGUUUCGGCUCGUAAAGCUCUGUUGUUGGAGAAGAACGUAUCUGAGAGUAACUGUUCAGGUAGUGACGGUAUCCAACCAGAAAGUCACGGCUAACUACGUGCCAGCAGCCGCGGUAAUACGUAGGUGGCAAGCGUUAUCCGGAUUUAUUGGGCGUAAAGAGAGCGCAGGCGGUUGCUUGGGUCUGAUGUGAAAGCCUUCGGCUUAACCGAAGAAGUGCAUCGGAAACCGGGCGACUUGAGUGCAGAAGAGGACAGUGGAACUCCAUGUGUAGCGGUGGAAUGCGUAGAUAUAUGGAAGAACACCAGUGGCGAAAGCGGCUCUCUGGUCUGUAACUGACGCUGAGGCUCGAAAGCAUGGGUAGCGAACAGG
rnacentral:rRNA from 1 species